rnacentral:rRNA from 1 species
UACGGAGGAUGCAAGCGUUAUCCGGAAUGAUUGGGCGUAAAGCGUCCGCAGGUGGCUAUGUAAGUCUGCUGUUAAAGAGUGAGGCUCAACCUCAUAAGAGCAGUGGAAACUACAUGGCUAGAGUGCGUUCGGGGCAGAGGGAAUUCCUGGUGUAGCGGUGAAAUGCGUAGAUAUCAGGAGGAACACCAAUGGCGAAGGCAGCUCGCUGGGACGGUACUGACGCUGAGGCGCGAAAGCGUGGGGAGCAAACAGG